CAGGUCGCGCUCGCUGCCUUCUCCCCUGAAGAGAGACGCGGGGGGAGGGGGGUGCGGCGAGCGGCCCCGCUCUCUCCCCACCGCUCCGCUCGCACCCCAGUGUAAUGAGGGUCACCCCCUCCCCCCAGCUGGCCCGGGAGGGGCGCGGGGCACGGUUGAUGCCGGCCCAGGAUGGAUCAGACCUGUGAACUACCCAGAAGAAAUUGUUUGCUGCCCUUUUCCAAUCCAGUGAAUUUAGAUGCCCCUGAAGACAAGGACAGCCCUUUCGGUAAUGGUCAAUCCAAUUUUUCUGAGCCACUUAAUGGGUGUACUAUGCAGUUAUCGACUGUCAGUGGAACAUCCCAAAAUGCUUAUGGACAAGAUUCUCCAUCUUGUUACAUUCCACUGCGGAGACUACAGGAUUUGGCCUCCAUGAUCAAUGUAGAGUAUUUAAAUGGGUCUGCUGAUGGAUCAGAAUCCUUUCAAGACCCUGAAAAAAGUGAUUCAAGAGCUCAGACGCCAAUUGUUUGCACUUCCUUGAGUCCUGGUGGUCCUACAGCACUUGCUAUGAAACAGGAACCCUCUUGUAAUAACUCCCCUGAACUCCAGGUAAAAGUAACAAAGACUGUCAAGAAUGGCUUUCUGCACUUUGAGAAUUUUACUUGUGUGGACGAUGCAGAUGUAGAUUCUGAAAUGGACUCAGAACAGCCAGUCACAGAGGAUGAGAGUAUAGAGGAGAUCUUUGAGGAAACUCAGACCAAUGCCACCUGCAAUUAUGAGACUAAAUCAGAGAAUGGUGUAAAAGUGGCCAUGGGAAGUGAACAAGACAGCACACCAGAGAGUAGACACGGUGCAGUCAAAUCGCCAUUCUUGCCAUUAGCUCCUCAGACUGAAACACAGAAAAAUAAGCAAAGAAAUGAAGUGGACGGCAGCAAUGAAAAAGCAGCCCUUCUCCCAGCCCCCUUUUCACUAGGAGAUACAAACAUUACAAUAGAAGAGCAAUUAAACUCAAUAAAUUUAUCUUUUCAGGAUGAUCCAGAUUCCAGUACCAGUACAUUAGGAAACAUGCUAGAAUUACCUGGAACUUCAUCAUCAUCUACUUCACAGGAAUUGCCAUUUGUAAGCAGUUUUUGGUACAACUUAAAUAUAUACGUAUAUGUAUAUAUACAGGCCACUUAAAGGGAAACUUGUAACAAAUUUGUUUUUGGUUGCUUAUCAGUUCACAGCUGAAAUCCUAUUGCUAAUCAUAAGCUUUUGGGCAAAAUUUUACUUUGAUUUUUAAAUUUAUCUCUGUUGUAUGAAUUUGGUUAUUUUAAGCUUUUUCCGAAUAACUCUUCAUUGAGAGUAGGCUAAUGCUUUUAAAGGCAUUUGAUUGAGUUCAGGUUUAAUUUCUCAAGAUGGAGGUAUACAUAUGAUUAAGGAAAAAAAAAAAAAAAAA
rnacentral:sRNA from 1 species